GGUCAUGUAUCAGUUGCUCAUCCAGUGGACGUCCAAUCAGUUAGUUGGCCAUUCAUUCAUUCAUUCAUGCAGGCAUCCAGUUAUAAAGACAUCCAUUCACCCACUCAACAGAAAUCUGCUGAGAGCCUACUACGUGCUGGGAACUAUUUUCACAUCGGAGACAAAACAGAGGGUGACAUGAAGAGCACGGCCCACUUGGAGCCUACGGAGAUGGCGUUGAGCGGUUUCGCAGGAGAGCUCCUGCCCCGGAGGAUUGAUGCCCAGCACCUGGCUCAUCCUCCCCACACCCCUAGCUCUUCUCCCGCUUUGCUCCUUCCAGCUGGGGUGAGCAUGGGGUCCCAACCCCGCUGGUGAGAAGCUCGAGGUAGGGAUGAAGCGGAGAAUGGAAAAGUCACUCCUGAAGCCAUUGGCUUCUUGUCUGCUGUUGGGGUCUUUAUUGUUCUUCUGGCCGUCCUCUUCCUCUUCAUCAACAAGAAGCUGUGUUUUGAAACGAUAGGAGGCCUUCCUUUCCUGGAGCAUCGAGGGAAAAGAAAGCAUUCUAAAGACAAGACUGGGAUUCACAAGGGGCUGGGUAAGCAU
rnacentral:sRNA from 1 species